GGCUGGUCUGAGGCAGUGGUAUUUACAACUAAUUGAUCACAACCAGUUACAGAUUCCUUUGUUCACUUUCCACUCCCACUGAUUCACUUGACUAGCCUUAA
rnacentral:Y_RNA from 1 species